AUUGAACGCUGGCGGCAGGCCUAACACAUGCAAGUCGAGCGAGCGGCGGACGGGUGAGUAAUGUAUGGGGACUGCCCGAUAGAGGAGGUUAACUACUGGAAACGGUAGCUAAUACCGCAUACUAUCGGAUAACCCAUAUGGGUUUAGCUAGUGGGUGGGGUAAUGGUUCACCUAGGCGACGAUCCCUAGCUGGUCUGAGAGGAUGAUCAGCCACACUGGGACGGAGGCACGGCCCAGACUCCUACGGAGGCAGCGGUGGGGAAUAUUGCACAAGGGGCGCAAGCCUGAUGCGGCCAUGCCGCGUGGAUGAAGAAGGCCCUAGGGUUGUAAAGUACGUUCAGUCUGGAGGCGUUACCGACAGAAGAAGCACCGGCUAACUCCGUGCCAGCAGCCGCGGUAAUAC
rnacentral:rRNA from 1 species